CGCGUAGGUGGUAGUGAAAGUCUAUGGUGGUAUCUUAGGGCUUAACCCUAAAACUGCCUUGGAAACUUCAUUACUUGAGUCAGUGAGGGGAGGGUAGAAUUCCUGGUGUAGCGGUGAAAUGCGUAGAUAUCAGGAGGAAGGCCGGUGGCGAAGGCGGCCCUCUGGCGCUGAACUGACGCUGAGGCGCGAAAGCGUGGGUAGCAAACAGGAUUAGAUACCCUGGUAGUCCACGCCCUAAACGGUGGGUACUAGGUGUAGGGCUCGUAAGGGUUCUGUGCCGAAGGGAAACCAUUAAGUACCCCGCCUGGGGAGUACGGCCGCAAGGUUGAA
rnacentral:rRNA from 1 species